rnacentral:misc_RNA from 1 species
UACGUAGGGUGCAAGCGUUGUCCGGAUUUACGGGGUUUAAAGGGUACGCAGGCGUGCUAUUAAGUCAGGGGUUAAAGCACACGGCUGAACCGUGGGAAUGCCAUUGAUACUGAUAGUCUUGAGUACAGAUGAGGUGGGCGGAAUUCAUGGUGUAGAGGUGAAAUGCAUAGAUCCCAUGAGGAGCACCAAUUGCGAAGGCAGCUCACUGGACUGUAACUGACGCUGAGGUACGAAAGCGUGGGUAGCGAACAGG